GGAGCCCUGGGUGGUGUGUGUGUGCACGCACACAUGUGUAUAUGCAUGCUCACGUGUGUUAGUAAUAGCCUUAUUUUACACAUGAGUAAACUGAAGCUCUGAGAGGUUAUGGGAUUUCUUUGAGGUCAAUAACUAAUAUUAGCACAGAAAUUCAGAAACCAUGAGUCCACCUGAAGCCGGCACCAAAAGUUCUUCACUAAUUCCUUCUGAACUUCCAUUUAGCCGACAUACUGCAUUACCCAGACUUCUCCACUCUCUGGCAGUCAUGGGGACUGACUUCCAUAGUGUGCUGAAUUCCCAGUCUAUGCCAUUUGCUCCCUCUGGCUUACCCAGGUGCUCAUGCGUUUACUAGUUGAGCCAUAUGCUUACCAAGAGUCAGCUGCAUCAUUUCCAAACUCUGUGCUUACCAGGUGUACUUGUUCACUUAAUUACAUAAUUUACCUAAAACCCUCACAAACUGGUACAAUCUGAGUGUAAAAAGAGAAUUGUCAUUUCUAUGAAAACUAAGUAGAAUAUUUUAGAAAUAUUCAAUAUAAUAGCUUGGAAAAAAAAAACCCUCCUGCAGUUGAAUUAAAUAUGGGGGAAAAACCUAGUAGGGAUGGGGAGAAAUCAUAGAGUCUAGAAAUAUUUUAUACUCAGAUAGGUUCACAUUAGGAACCUUCACCCUCAUGCUCGACUUUAAAGAAAUUCAAAGUAGAAAUCAAGAGUGAUACUGUCAGAAUAUUGUCUAUUCAAGGAGACACCAGUUUCCAGUCAGCAGACACAGUCUCAAAGAGAUGGUGUUGACCCAGUGUCAGAAGUCAAACAAAGGUACACGUACACGCUGUGGUAUAUUUACAAGUCUUCUCCAUGGCUGCUUUUGAAACACCAGUGUACUCAGCUUUUUCUUGUAACAAGGUACCUGCUUAUUCUAUUGGAGACGCGUAAAGGGCUUCUAUUCAUUGUUCUGAUUUUAGACUAUUCCCAGUUCCCUACAGCUCCACCCUGCCCAGUUUAGAUUCUAUAACCAUCCAAAAGACCAUCUAUGAUUCAGAACUGGUGAAUGGCUUGCCCCCAUUCCGUCGAUCUCUACAUGACACUAUCAACUGAUAUGCAGUAGGACAUGGAGUGAUUCAUUUAACUCCUCCCCCUGCCUCCAGACCACUGAACUAUCCAUCGUCCAAAAUAUGAGCUCAGUUAAAGCAACAUGGGAAGCAUUGAGGCUUCUACAAUUUGGGUACUGUCCAUUAAAAUAAUACAUCUACAUAUAUCUACACUGAGUGCUCUCAUUAUUUAAACUGGGAAACAAUUAAUGUGUGUAGCUAUCAUUUACAAACCAUUCGGUCUCCGAAUGCUUGCAAUAGAUUUACUCUCAGUGUUACUCUGACCUGGUGACCUAGAAAAUGUCCAAGAGAAGGUAAGUCAUUUAAAGGAGGAAACAAUGCCACUAUCUCCUUUCACACUCAUUGCUGCUUGAAUAAAAGAAGGAAAACGAAGCAUACACCCUCUGCUCUGAGUGCCAGCCAGGCCCCCAGCAAGGAGACCCGGGCUCCCCAGGUGAAGUUCCUUAAAUCUUACAUUGCUGCCCCUCGCCAAGCCCACAGGUAGGUGAAAGCAGUGGGUGGUGGGAAGAAGCGGGAGGAGAAAGUGGGACACAGAUGAAAGGAGCACUUUAUUUGAUAAAAUCGUAAAGAGCAGCUUGUACUGUAGAGCAAGAAUCUCCAAGUAAUAAAUGUCAGGUUUAUGAACAAUUGAGCCUCUCCUUUCCUGACUGAAAUUGCUCUUUGAGGUCAGCUCUGUAAGUGCUCUGUGAGGUGAGGAGGCUGCGCUGCUGAGGGGGUUUGAGGUCGCUGAUGCACCACUGGGAACGGGAAAGGGGGUGUGGGGGUGUGGGGGUAUUGGGUUUGCCCAUUGUGUUAUUAGGGUCUACACUGAAAGAAGUGAUAACUAUGCUGAGUAGUUUUUUUGUAUUUUUUUGUUUUUUGGUUUGUUUGUUGUUUUUUUUUUUUGAGACGGAGUCUCGCUCUGUUGCCCAGGCUGGAGUGCAGUGGUGCGAUCUUGGCUCACUCCAAGUUCCACCUUCCAGGUUCACGCCAUUCUCCUGCCUCAUAUGCUGAGUAGUUUUAAUAAAGAAAAGCAUCCAGACAUCCCCACAAACAAGACUUUGUGACUGGAGCCUCAGUAAGGGGUCACUGAACUCCAGAACCACACUCACUCAACAAGACAAAGUACCUUCCUCAACACCAGGCUGCUGAACCCUCCCAUAGCUCACACACAGCUGCCCAUUGUCAAAAACAAAAGCAAUGAGUGAGAUGGAAUUCUCUUUUCAAUAUCUGCUCCUACCCUCAAAGUAGACGCUGCCUUUGGGUGGGCCAGUCCAGUAGCAUAACCAAGGAAUGUAAAUCCUCAGCAUGUAAAGGCGGGGUGGAAAGAAGCCACAGACACGCAUGUGGGAGACUCGCGCACCCACACCAAAGCUGACUUCGAUGCUUAAAGGUCGAAGCACCGGACCCCUCUUCUUUUAUCUCUGUGGUAGAGACAAACACAACUUACAUCUCAUUUCCUCAUGAUCUACAGUGAAAGAAAGUGAGUGGAAUACAGGUUAUAGGCAUUUACAAGAUUCCAGUCCAUUGAGACCUUGCACAUGGGAACACAACAGCAUCUCUUCAAAUGCAAUUUUGAAGAUGUUCACACAGGCAUCAUGGGGAGAAGACUGGAAGGAAUGCUCUGCACCCUGGGGUUGUGUGCUGAGUGCGACUCUGGGGAAGAAAAUGACUCCACAGCUUAAAUAAAAAUGUUGAAGGCCACUGUGAGCUACAUCUCAAAUGGCCCCCGAGGGAUCUUUUCCAUGGCCUUAGCUCACUUGCAGAAGACAUCUGCAUGGCCCAGCAAGCUCCGCGGAUGCAGAGGCAGAGUGUGAUCAAAGCCCAGCUCAGCUCUCCUCUGGUCGCCGAAUACCUGUCUGGGGCACAUUGGAGAGGAGCAGGGGACCUGACUGUGCCCAUCAAGACAGCGACUGCCAUUUUCUGUGCCUCCAGGACUGGGGUCAUCAUCAGGGCUGUGCAUACAGGACAAAAAGCUCUCAUUUUUCCAUCUGGCAUUCCUCAUCUCUGGAUCGGCAUGGGCAGCAGUAAAUUCCAGGAGAGACCUUAGCCAACCAUCCCCUUUGUUUCCUGAAAGAAGAGAGGUUUAUGUUCUCCUGGAAGGCUGACCAGCAGUAACUUAGGGAAGCCACAGGCCAGCAGCACACUGAAAUGCAGAUGUGAUUAGAUAAACG
rnacentral:lncRNA from 1 species